rnacentral:tRNA from 1 species
AGCGCCUUAGCUCAAUUGGAAGAGCAUCAGAUUUUGGAUCUGUUGGUUCCACGUUCGAAUCGUGGAGGCGCUG